CGUUAGAUAGUAGUUGGUGGGGUAAUGGCCUACCAAGUCUACGAUCUAUAGCUGGUUUGAGAGGAUGAUCAGCAACACUGGGACUGAGACACGGCCCAGACUCCUACGGGAGGCAGCAGUGGGGAAUCUUAGACAAUGGGCGAAAGCCUGAUCUAGCCAUGCCGCGUGAGUGACGAAGGCCUUAGGGUCGUAAAGCUCUUUCGCCAGAGAUGAUAAUGACAGUAUCUGGUAAAGAAACCCCGGCUAACUCCGUGCCAGCAGCCGCGGUAAUACGGAGGGGGUUAGCGUUGUUCGGAAUUACUGGGCGUAAAGCGUACGUAGGCGGAUUGGAAAGUAGGGGGUGAAAUCCCAGGGCUCAACCCUGGAACUGCCUUCUAAACUAUCAGUCUAGAGUUCGAGAGAGGUGAGUGGAAUUCCAAGUGUAGAGGUGAAAUUCGUAGAUAUUUGGAGGAACACCAGUGGCGAAGGCGGCUCACUGGCUCGAUACUGACGCUGAGGUACGAAAGUGUGGGGAGCAAACAGGAUUAGAUACCCUGGUAGUCCACACCGUAAACGAUGAAUGCCAGACGUCGGGGGGCUUGCCCUUC
rnacentral:rRNA from 1 species